rnacentral:rRNA from 1 species
AUUGAACGCUGGCGGCAGGCUUAACACAUGCAAGUCGAGCGAGCGGCGGACGGGUGAGUAAUGUCUGGGAAACUGCCUGAUGGAGGGGGCUAACUACUGGAAACGGUAGCUACUACCGCAUACCAUCAGAUGUGCCCAGAUGGGAUUAGCUAGUAGGUGGGGGAAUGGCUCACCUAGGCGACGAUCCCUAGCUGGUCUGAGAGGCUGACCAGCAACACUGGAACGGAGACACGGUCCAGACGCCGACGGGAGGCAGCAGUGGGGAAUCUUGGACAAUGGGCGCAAGCCUGAUGCAGCCAUGCCGCGUGUGUGAAGAAGGCCUUCGGGUUGUAAAGCACUUUCAGCGAGGAGGCGUUACUCGCAGAGGAAGCACCGGCUAACUACGUGCCAGCAGCCGCGGUAAUAC